AAGUUUAAUCUGUCUGUCACUUAGCGCUACGUCACAUGUUUCAUUCUUCUGAUUGGCUGUAGGUCUAUCCAAUUGCGUCCAGAGGCAUUUUGGUCAUACAGCCAUUGAUAACGCCCAUUGGAAAUCAAAAAAUGACUGAGAGAUAUCAUACUAAUG